UACGUAGGGGGCUAGCGUUGUCCGGAAUCAUUGGGCGUAAAGCGCGUGUAGGCGGCCCGGUAAGUCCGCUGUGAAAGUCGGGGGCUCAACCCUCGGAUGCCGGUGGAUACUGUCGGGCUUGAGUUCGGAAGAGGCGAGUGGAAUUCCUGGUGUAGCGGUGAAAUGCGCAGAUAUCAGGAGGAACACCUGCGGCGAAGGCGGGUGCUGGGCCGACACUGACGCUGAGGCGCGAAAGCGUGGGGAGCGAACAGG
rnacentral:rRNA from 1 species